UUUUUUCAAGUUCCUGUAUCUUCAUGUCGAGUUGCUAGCUGCCCAACGUAGAGGACUAGGAAUCAGGAGUCGGUGGCCGUAUGCUGGAGGCUGGAGCCGCGGGAGUGCAGCUCGCCUCGCUGCGGUUGUUGGCAGUGAGGGAGAGAGAGUAGCGCGGCUGGAGCGGGUAUGAUGUGACUUGCUCCUCCUUGCCUUCCACCAUGAUUGUGAGGCUUCAACAGCAACGUGGAACUGCUCAUAGGCGGAAGGGACUUGCCUUGUCUCGGAUUACACAUUGGACUGUGGACUUUUGAGUUAACGCUGAGAAGAGUUAAGACUUUGAGGGACUGUUGUGAAGGCAUGAUUGGUUUUGAAAUGUCAAAAUGCGGAUCUUCGUGAAAACCCUUACCGGCAAGAUCAUCACCCUUGAAGUGGAGCCCAGUGCCACUAUCGAAAAUGUCAAAGCCAAAAUCCAAGAUAAAGAAGGCAAUCCCUGUGACCAGCAGAGGCUCAUCUUUGCAGGCAAGCAGCGGGAAGAUGGCCGCAGUCUUUCUGACUACAACAUCCAGAAAGAGUCGACCCUGCAUCUGGUCCUGCGUCGGAGAGGUGGUAUGCAGAUCUUCGUGAAGACCCUGACCGGCAAGACCAUCACCCUGGAAGUGGAGCCCAGUGACACCAUCGAAAAUGUGAAGGCCAAGAUCCAAGAUAAAGAAGGCAUCCCCCCCGACCAGCAGAGGCUCAUCUUUGCAGGCAAGCAGCUGGAAGAUGGCCGCAGUCUUUCUGACUACAACAUCCAGAAAGAGUCGACCCUGCAUCUGGUCCUGCGUCUGAGAGGUGGUAUGCAGAUCUUCGUGAAGACCCUGACCGGCAAGACCAUCACCCUGGAAGUGGAGCCCAGUGACACCAUCGAAAAUGUGAAGGCCAAGAUCCAAGAUAAAGAAGGCAUCCCCCCGAUCAGCAGAGGCUCAUCUUUGCAGGCAAGCAGCUGGAAGAUGGCGGUACUCUUUCUGACUACAACAUCCAGAAGGAGUCGACCCUGCACCUGGUCCUGCGUCUGAGAGGUGGUAUGAAGAUCUUCGUGAAGACCCUGACUGGAAAGACCAUCACCCUGGAGGUGGAGCCCAGUGACACCAUCGAAAAUGUGAAAGCCAAGAUCCAGGAUGAAGAAGGCAUCCCCCCCGAUCAGCAGAGGCUCAUCUUUGCAGGCAAGAAGUUGGAAGAUGGCCGCACUCUUUCUGACUACAGCAUCCAGAAAGAGUCGACCCUGCACCUGGUCCUGCGCCUGAGGGGUGGCUGUUAAUUCUUCAGUCUUGCAUUAGCAGUGCCCACUGAUGGCAUUACUCUGCACUAUAGCCAUUUGCCCCAACUUAGGUUUAGAAAUUACAAGUUUCAGUAAUAGCUGAACCUGUUCAAAAUGUUAAUAAAGGUUUCGUUGAAUGGUA
ensembl:lncRNA UBBP4 ubiquitin B pseudogene 4